CCUACGGGAGUCAGCAGUGGGGAAUAUUGCACAAUGGGGGAAACCCUGAUGCAGCGACGCCGCGUGAGUGAAGAAGUAAUUCGUUAUGUAAAGCUCUAUCAGCAGGGAAGAAAAUGACGGUACCUGAGUAAGAAGCCCCGGCUAACUACGUGCCAGCAGCCGCGGUAAUACGUAGGGGGCAAGCGUUAUCCGGAUUUACUGGGUGGAAAGGGAGCGUAGACGGCAGUGCAAGUCUGGAGUGAAAGGCGGGGGCUCAACCCCCGGACUGCUCUGGAAUCUGUACGGCUGGAGUGCAGGAGAGGUAAGUGGAAUUCCUAGUGUAGCGGUGAAAUGCGUAGAUAUUAGGAGGAACACCAGUGGCGAAGGCGGCUUACUGGACUGUAACUGACGUUGAGGCUCGAAAGCGUGGGGAGCAAACAGGAUUAGAUACCCUAGUAGUC
rnacentral:rRNA from 1 species